rnacentral:rRNA from 1 species
GCGACAAGCGGUGGAGCAUGUGGUUUAAUUCGACGCAACGCGAAGAACCUUACCAGGGCUUGACAUCCCUUGACAGUCGUAGAGAUACGGUGUUCGAACCUUCGGGUUCGACAAGGAGACAGGUGGUGCAUGGUUGUCGUCAGCUCGUGUCGUGAGAUGUUGGGUUAAGUCCCGCAACGAGCGCAACCCCUACUUUAGUUGCCAGCAUUUAAGGUGGGCACUCUAAAGGAACUGCCGGUGACAAACCGGAGGAAGGUGGGGAUGACGUCAAAUCAUCAUGCCCUUUAUGUCCUGGGCUACACACGUGCUACAAUGGCUGGUACAGAGGGCGGCGAAGGAGCGAUCUGGAGCGAAUCCCAAAAAGCCAGUCUCAGUUCGGAUUGCAGGCUGCAACUCGCCUGCAUGAAGUCGGAAUCGCUAGUAAUCGCGAGUCAGCAUAUCGCGGUGAAUACGUUCCCGGGUCUU